rnacentral:ncRNA from 13 species
UGUUUAUCUUAGGUGAUGUUCACCCAUUUAUCGGCAAAGUGCGAUUCGUUGGCUAGAAACCAAUCCCAAUAGGGCUUAAGGAGGAUUAGCCGCUUAAGAUUCAUGAGAAUCUUUUGAUAACUGAAUAACAAUGUAGGUGCAAAACCUACCCUCCAAGUGCUGGAGUGAAAGCAUAUCCCCUACUGUAGAGACUAGCCAUCAAUCGGUAAAGCGGGGAUAAAAGGUGGAAAUACUGCAAGCCUAAUGUGGUAAUCACCAAGCAAAGUAUCCAUGAGUAAAGCCAAGGCUUAAAGACACGUCUGAAUCAUCGUGAUAAAACAGUAGCGCAAUCAGGCUGAAUCGCUACAACCAAAAGGUAAAGGAUAAAGGACUGGCAAAUUUUACCUUGACCAGUAUGCACUCCCAAUAAACCCGGUGAAUAGUGUCACUCUAAAGAUACAUAGCAUUGUUAUUCGGAACGAAGUAACCCGUUAUUUACUCUCAGAUGGUCGAGUAUCUGAGUAGGUGCUAACCGGAUGUAAUAACGUGGAGAGAUUGAGUAAGAAGCAAAUGUUUAAUUGUAAUGAUUGAAAUAUGCUGACGUACUCACAAUGAUUUGAAAGGAUUGGUCUGAUUAGGAAGUAUAUAUGUCUAAUACGAGUUUAAAGACUACGGCGGAAUGGAAUACGAUACCCUGGCGAAAGUUAGAACGUAGCGUAUACAAGCUUCAGAAAAGAAUAUACCAAGCUUCUCAACGUGGUGAUACUAAGGCAGUCCGCAAACUCCAAAAAACCCUGAUGAGGUCUUGGUCUGGAAAAGCUCUUGCAGUAAGAAAAGUCACCCAAGAUAACCAAGGAAAGAAGGCAGCAGGUAUUGACGGUGUAAAAUCCCUUAAACCAUCAGCCAGACUCACUUUGGUAAUGAAUAUGAAGCUUAACCAUAAGGUAAAAGCAACUCGUAGAGUAUGGAUUCCAAAACCCGGAAACGUUGAAAAACGACCACUAGGAAUACCCACAAUGCAAGAUAGAGCAACUCAAUCGCUUGUCAAACUGGCAUUAGAACCAGAAUGGGAGGCAAAAUUUGAGCCCAAUAGUUACGGUUUCAGACCCGGACGCAAUGCCCAUGAUGCAAGAGAAGCAAUAUUUAAUAGUAUCAGAUACUCAAACAAAUGGGUAUUAGAUGCUGAUAUUUCAAAAUGCUUCGAUAAAAUAAACCACGAAAAACUAUUGACCAAAAUUAACACAUUCCCGACCAUGAGGAGGCAAAUAAAAGCAUGGUUGAAAGCAGGAGUACUAGACAAUGGUCAUUUCUCAGAAACUACUGAGGGAACGCCACAAGGCGGUGUAAUAUCUCCACUAUUAGCCAAUAUUGCCUUACAUGGGCUAGAAAAGCUAGUAAAGGAGUUUGCAGCCAGCCAGAGAGGAGGAAAGGUGAAGAAUCAGAACAGUAUAUCCCUAAUUAGAUAUGCAGACGAUUUUGUGAUUCUUGCCCCCAAUAAAACUCAAAUAAUAGUACUCAAAGAAAUAGUAAAAACGUGGUUAGCAGAAAUGGGACUGGAAUUAAACCCUAACAAAACCCGUAUAGUUUCGACUUUCAAAAGCUCAGAGAUAUUCGCCUCGCAAGAAGUAGGAUUUAAUUUCCUCGGUUUCAAUGUGAAACAAUACAAAGUGGGAAAGAAUGACUCUGGAAAAUUAUCGAACGGUAAAAAGUUAGGGUAUAAAACACUCAUCAAGCCUAGUGUAAAAUCAGUAAAGAAACACUACGAUGACAUAGCAAGAAUAAUCGAUAAUCACAAAAAUGCUGCACAAGAAACACUAAUAAGUAAACUUAACCCUGUAAUCAGGGGAUGGGUUAACUAUUACUCAACAUCAGUGAGUAAAGAGAUAUUCUCAAAGCUAAGUCAUCUAAUAUAUCAGAAGCUGAAACGCUGGGGAAAACGUCGUCACCCUGACAAGUCUAAUGUAUGGGUAACCAAGAAAUAUUGGCAUACAGUAGGUGGCGAUAACUGGGUAUUCGCAGCAACAAAGAACGGAGAAAUCACAAUGAGGCUAUUCAAACACUCACAAAAAGAAAUUGUGAGACACGUAAAAGUAAAAGGUGAUGCCUCACCGUUCGAUGGGAACUUAAAAUAUUGGAGUUCAAGAAAGGGCGAAAAUCCCUUAGUACCUAAAAGAGUAGCAAUACUACUUAAAAAGCCUUUGGGGAAAUGCUCUCAUUGCGGAUUGUACUUUAGAGAAGAUGACCUAAUCGAGAUUGACCAUAUCAUUCCUAAAUCGCAAGGUGGAAAGGAUGUAUACGACAAUCUGCAAGCAUUACAUAGGCAUUGUCACGACGUUAAAACUGCCACUGACAACUCUUAUAAUCAACCUAAGAGCGAUACAGAAAUAAAUGUGAUGUGGUAGUGAGAAGUACCCACGACUUGGGUCAAGUCAUUGAGGAGCCGUAUGAGGUGAAAGUCUCAAGUACGGUUUUGAAGACCAGCAGGAUUGGUGACAGUCUUGCUGAGUUUAAUAACUCUCCUCAACUAUCGUGGGAUAUUUUGACCAGAGUGAAAAAUCUUUACC